UCCGGCUUGGCGCCGGCAGUUCCUCUAGAGUGCCCAACUAAAUGCUGGCAACUAAAGACGAGGGUUGCGCUCGUUGCGGGACUUAACCCAACAUCUCACGACACGAGCUGACGACAGCCAUGCAGCACCUGUGUCCAGGUCCCGUAAGGGAAGGAAUCCAUCUCUGAAAACCGUCCUGGCAUGUCAAACGCUGGUAAGGUUCUGCGCGUUGCAUCGAAUUAAUCCACAUAAUCCACCGCCUGUGCGGGUCCCCGUCAAUUCCUUUGAGUUUUAACCUUGCGGCCGUACUCCCCAGGCGGUCAACUUCACGCGUUAGCUUCGUUACCAAGGAAUUGCUUCCCCGACAACCAGUUGACAUAGUUUAGGGCGUGGACUAC
rnacentral:misc_RNA from 1 species